rnacentral:lncRNA from 1 species
UACUCCGAGGACAAGGAAGGGCGCUCAGGAUCUGUUCUGUGGUGCUUUUUCUGCUGUUGUUCCAGUUGAAAUGGAGAUUUGAUUUCAUUACUGUUAAGCUUAUUUUUCCAAUUCUGACUGGAAGAUGUAAUUUCCAUAAAACCACAUCCUGUAAGUAUGAAAUGAUUUAUUGAUACUAACCAGAAAUGCAAAUUAUUUGGAAACCUUCAAAAAGGAUAAACAUCAAAAAAUAUGAGGGUCUGUUUAAAGGAUAGUUCCACCCUUUAAUACCUCUAACCAACACAUUUGAAGAUUUAAAGACUUGUCAAGAGCAAUGAAUGAAAUGCUCAUGUGAGAAAAUAUGAAGAACUCAGGUUUUUAUGAAACUUUAAUAAAGUAAAACUUGCAGAUUCCUCAUGUAGGUCAGGCUGCUCUCACGAUUUGUUGAAAAUAACAGAAAGGCCAACCACAACCACAAAUCUUUUAAAAUUACAGCUUUACUAUCUUAUGAAUUUAUUCUUAUAAUAUUAAUAUUUAUACUCCUAAUCCUCUUUAAUAAAAAAAACAUAACACUGUGACCACAACGGCGUCUCUUUGACGUCAUGUCUAACCCCUUGAGCCCCCCCACCAUCCAACAGGAAAGACCUCACACUGUGAGAGGAUAUGUGUGAAUAUUCAUGGCCUACAGUCAUGUGGUGAAAGAUAUAUUCAAGGUCAGUGGAAAACUUGAUAAAAUAAUACAGAUGUGGGGCUUGAUUCUCAAAAUGGUUUAGUUCAUUCUCAGUGUUUGAAACAAUACUGGUACUUGUUCGCCUCAUUUGGGAUAAAAGAGAGAGAGAAAAGUCACAAGGUGCUUCACAAUAAUAAAUUAAAAGCAGGCAUAAACAGAUAAAACAGUUCACACGGUCAAGUGGCAUCUGUAUAACAAUGACACCUUCAAAAGCUGUUAUCACAUAUCACAGGGGGUUCAGAUAUGAAGAAAAUAAGAGGACCCAGGACAGAACCCUGAGGGACUCCACAGGACAGGGCUCAGGCUGAUAAAACAUGUUUACCAGGAGUGACUGGAAAUGUUCUACAGGGUGAAUAAGAAGGAAAUAAGUCUACUACUGUUACAAUGAUGCUCACCUACCUUUAACUCAAUGUGACCCUGAGGGUGAGGCGUUUCUGAAGGCCUCUGAUGGAGACCAGAUUGGAGUUUCUCUAAAUCAUCCUCUAAAAUAGAUGCAAGCUGCUAGGCAACCACUUUUUCUAACACCUCUGAAAGCAACUUAAUUAUAGGUCCGUGUAACAAUUAUGAUCUAGAAGAUUAUGCAUGAUAUGACAUAUAAUCUAUGAUAGAAUAAUGGAGAAGAUACUCUUGGUAUGUGAAGAUAUGACCCAGAACAGCUGCUGAAACACUCACAAUGACAUAUAAUAGCAGUGCUGAAAGGGAACAAGCUCGGACCUUUGCAAUAUAACAGUAGGAGAGUCUGGUAUAUAUAGUAUGUAGUUAUACCAAACAAUCACAUAAGUGUGAGUGUUUGGAGGGAAAUGUCACGGGCGACAUGUUUGUGGCUCAUAGUUACCAUGGUGACCGGCCUUGGUGGUCAUUAAAGCUCACAGUGGUGUUUGUUCUUUAUGUCACAGGUAAACAUGUACAGAAGAUGGUUAAAAAAAAAUCAUUUCUAAAGGAUGAAAAGAGCCUCUUACUCUCAUUAGUUUAUAGAGAGAAAAGUCCAUUAGCUCAUCCUUUUUAGAGAAAGAGAACUCAGAGACUUUGGAGUGACGGACGAACCUUCGUUUAAAAUUCUACAGAAUUCAGGUGAGAAGUGUCUGAUCGCUUUCAAAUCAGAUCCUAACUCUUCUUCCUUUGCACCCCUGUUCAUUAUUGUGCCGUCUGCUUCUCUUCCCAGCCUGCCUGGUACUGAACUUCACCCAAAUGUGACCGGAGUAAACUCUAAGUGAACCUGAUGAUUUUACUUUGCAGAUAAAAGCCUAAAACUGUGGACAAGGUUUAAAUCUUUACAUUGAGAUCAUUAGGCUGCAGCUUUUUCCUCCAACUAAAUGUGUUUCUAUCUGUACAGUAAACCAAACCAGGUGACUGACACUAUCUCUCAGGAUGUUGAGGCCUCUUCUGCUCGGCUGUGUGACUGUCUUGGCUUGUAAAAGAUGCCCUUGAUGGAUGGAGUGAAGAUUCAGAGAUGGUAAGUAUACUGCUGCUUUUAAGAGAAGUGUCUGAGUGCUGGUGCUUUAAAGCUUUGGUCCCAUCCUGACUCUCAGAGCCGUAAAAGCAGGAUGACUUCCUUCAAAGAUGCUCUAAAAGGUGUUAUUAGGUCAGAUUAUUGUGUACUACCUUGACCUCGAGUGGAAAAAAACUGUAAAUUCAAGUUAUGAGAGUGUGAUUAUUUGCUUGCUGACAUUAGUGAAGAGGCAGUAAAAAGGAAAGAAGCUCAAAAUGAUUCGCCUUCUAUCAAUAUUCUCCAGGAUCAGAGACCAAACUCAACCGUUAAAUAUUUGUUCUUCCUCCUGGAGCACCUUAGAUGUGAUGCUCUGCGGAGGAAAAAAACAUCUGUAUCUCACAAAAUUCAGCCUCAAAUAUCAGGAUCAGCAUGCAGCUCGUGUGUCUGUAUCUAUUUAGGAGAGAUUGAUUGCUUUUGUUUAAUUUCAGCCGCAGGGAGGGUAGAGUAUUAUCAAAAAUAGCCCUGGGGAGAACCAUUUAGCUCCUUACUUAUGGAGUUUUGAUGUCUUUCAUGAUGCUAGGAGUUUAAUGAAGCGCUGGUCCAUUAGUGUUUUUAUAAUGACUAAAGAGUGUCGACUACAAUUAACUCUUUACUUUUGCAAGAAACACAAAGAGCUUGUUAGAUUUUACUGAAUGUACUCAUUUGUCUUUUUGCGGAGAGUCAAAGAGAGAGAUUUUAUAAUUUUUACACCUGUUUGCUUCGUUAGCUAAUUUAACAUCAAGAUUUAUGACUAAAGGAAGAAAAUCUGCCUAAAAAUCAGUCUGUGAUUUCUGAGAACACGAACAGCACUAUCAGGGAUUUCAGCUUUGUCGCUUGGUUGGAAACAGGGUGAAAUCAGCUCCAUUUGAAUACUAUGAAACAUCAAUGUGUUAGAAACCAAAAAAAUGUGUAUUUUAGGGGUGAGAGACAAGAAAGCAAUUUCCUGGAGCUAGUGUUAAUCUCAUCUACAUAUAGAUUAAAUUUCUCUUUUUUCUCUGUGUGAUUUUGAGGAAGAUGUUCAGAGACAUUGUAAAUAAAAGUGCUUAAAAAUUUUGAAAUAUUAAAAGUUCCCUUUUUGGGGGGGGGCAUUCACACCAAGCACAAGUAAAAUCAUUUGCACGAAUAAAGUCAUUGUAAAGACUCGAUUAGACGCUCAUGCUAGUCUGGUGGCGCAAAUGACGUGAAUUGGGUGGCGCGAAUUGAGCGAGUUAUUCGUGCAAAUUGAGCGUACAUGAAUUUGUGAGAGUUGAAAAUGUCUCAACUUGAGUGGAUAUUUGCAUCGCGGUAACCAAUCAGCACAAAGGUUCCUGGGUGACGUAUGAAAACGGACGGUUGUUCACUGGUAUCCAGAAUGGAGGACAAACUGAUCGUGUUGGUGUGAGGGUGCCCCGAAUAAAAAGAAACCUUUUCUUUCAAUUACCGAAACCAGGAUAAAAAGGAGCUCACCUGGAGGCAAGUGAGUGAGGAGGUCGGAUUACCUGGUAAGUUGUAAAAACCACUUGAUCCUGCUGGUUGAAUUGGCAAGGAUCACUGUUGAAAUUAGCAUAAACGGCUAUCCGCAGCUUUUAUGUGCAAAUCAUUCGUGUGGUCUCUAACUAGGCCUCUGAGACCCAGAAUAAACAGGAUAGUACUCUUAGUGCAUUCUGACCAAGUGGCAACCUCCAGUCUUAAGAAGUGAAGCAAGUGUAAAAAAAACUGCAGUACCACAAGUGUCCACUUGAGGCUGGCCGCAAAAGCCCUAACCACUACAUACACACCCAUUCUAAAAAUGCAACACACACAGACAUGUUUACAGCCUGUUACUUAUCACUCCAAUGAGCUCAUUGCUCUACACACACACACACACACACACACACACACACACACACACACACACACACACACACACACACACACAUACACACAAACACACACUGUAUAAACAUAUAUUUUAAACUUUUUUGUUGUAAAGUUGAUAAGAUUAUGUGUGGGGGAGCCUGCUUUGACUGACAGGCCGGCACACUUUUGCUGUAGCACAUAGGUAGAUAUUUGAAUAUUUCAACUUUUCACAGGUUUAAACCAGGUAAACUAAUAAAAGAUUAUUCGUCCAAUAGUUUUAAAAUGCAGUUAGCAUUUCAGUAUCAUACCCGAAUAAAAGUUAUUAGUUUAACUGUGAAUUGGCAGAGCUGCAAAGAACAGGUCAUGGCUGAAAUAACCAGCAUGUGUCUCAGAUUUCACUCAAAAUAUAAUAUUAUUUGAUGAGGUCCUUGGUGGAUUCUGUUCGGCGAUAUAUUCUCAAGACAUCUGAGGAGCGCAUUAGCCUCGGGCAUCCUUGUGUUGAUGCCAAAUGACAUCUGUUUGUGUGUGAAUUUAUUCAGUCAGCUUCCUGUUAAAUCCACUUUUUCCUCCGCUGGAUUCGACUAAGGCACUUCAAACUUGAAAAGUCGUGUAUCUUUAGUUUUGUUCCCUCGGGGGGGUUGUGUUUGUAAAAAUGAACAAACUGCGUGCGUCUUGUCUUUACCUUCACGUAAACAUAGACAUAUCUGCUAACACAGAGCAGUGUAAUCCUGGGCCCUCCAGUCUCUGCACAUGUUUCCUUAAAUACCCUUAAGGAGGGGGGGUCACAAAAGAUGUAUGAGAUUUCUGGCAUGGCGGCGUGAGCGGUCCAGAAUCCUUCAAAAACUCCACAUGAACCCAGUUUCUAAGCAACAAGAAAAUGAAAGAGCGUGCCAAGACCUCAUAAAACAGUCCUGAUCCACUUCUCUCUGAUUUUAAACUAGAUACAUGAUUACGGGCACUUUUCCCUGCACUGACCUUUGGAGAGUGUAAUCACACUCUGUGUAAAUGUGUUCUUUAAGAGCUUAGUAGAGGGCCAGAGAUCACCAGCGCCGAAAGAUAAAUCACUCUUUAAAAGGGGGUCCUCCGUUUUUUUCUGCAAACGCUGACAUACAAGUUUGGCAGAGCACAGAUUUGGCUGGAGAUGAUUUAACAGAAAAUAUGUUGUAUAUUUUGUCGUCUUGCUGCCUCUUAAAGGUCACAGUGUGAUGUUACUGUAGCAGAGGGAGACCUCCUCCUCCUCUUCUUUUCCUUCCUCUUAUAAAGUACCAAACAGAACUAGCUUUAUUAAACAUCUCGAUGUUCCCAGCGCAGAGACGCCAUAAAAGUCUCCGCUUUUGUCAUUUCAUCACACGGUCCUGCUGGCCUGACUUAUAUUAAACAUGUCACGCUGCAUUAUGGCGUGUUGUGUUUCGAUGCGGCUUGUUUUUUUGAGCAGUAACAACCUUGGCAGGGUGAGGAGAGGCAGUUACAGUACGUCACCGCUCUCUAUGAUGCCCUUUACAGCCCUGUAAACUGUAGCACAGAUGCUGCUGGUUAUAAUUCACACAGGGAUCGUAUAAAAUCCUGCCAUCUUUGUAAAACCCUAACUUACACUUCAUGCCCAGUUUAGAUGUCCUUGUGGUCUUAAAUGUAAUCCUGACUGUUAUAUGACCCCGGCUGGUUUUAAAAAAGUCCUCAAAUAUGAUGAUAAAAAAACAAACUGUGAAGGUGAAAACUGAAGAGCUCUCCCCGGUCGUUGUCCCUUUUCUAGUCUUUCCACAACUUGUUUCCAUUUACAGUUUUAACUUCAGCUGAAGCAGCUCCUUCGUUUUGGUACCUUUUAUUUUGUGUCACAACAUUUAACAUUUAGGUUUACAAUAAAUGUCCAAAAACGAAGAGAGGUGCCACUCACAAAUGUGGUCAAUCUUGGGCAAAUCUCUGAUGUAGUUAAUUGUGUCAGUUGGAAAGUUUAAAUAAGAAUAGAUUUACAUUAUUCUGUGUCCAGGGACUGGAUAAGUUCUGUUCCUGUAGGUCGCUCGAAGAUGCAUGACUGUAUCAUGCUAGAUACACAUUAAGGCAGAUCAGUGCAGCAGCUUCACUUCAUAACUCAUAGGGCUGGGCAAUAAACCAAAAAUUUACCGAUACCGAAAUUCACGACAAUAACCAAUGUCAUUUUGCCCAUGUCAAUAAAUUCUGUGUCAAAAUAAAUAAAUAAAUCAAAGUUUGUUUUGGAUGUGUGUAGGUAGGCUAUGGUCUCAUGUCCCUUUAAGAUGCUGUCCUACAUCAGAGACCUGACUCCACCCCAUUCAGUCCAUAACAAAGAGGGAAAGACAGGUGAGGAGAUGGAGGACGGUUCAAAAGUUUUAGCGCCUGGAGCAGCAGCUGAAGUAGACGAAGUUAAUGUGGGAGGGGGUGAGCAGCUUGUGGAGUAGUUAUGGUCCAUUUAUCGUUAUCGAGGUGAACUGAUCAAUAUAUCUUAAUAUUGAUUUGAGGCCAUAUCGUCCAGCCCUAAUAACUUCUCUCCUUCAUUCAUUCGGUCAUACUCACCAUAUAAAGUGGGUUAAAGGCAGUUAGUGACCAGUGCAGAGGGGCGGCAUGAGUCUUUGCAUCGUGGUCGUGUGCAGUGGAUUCAGUUUUACCUGAAAACUAUCAAAGAUACUGUAGACCGAGCUUUUGUGCAUGUUGCUGCAGCAUGGCAACAAUAUCAGGUUGUAGAGAAAGCGUUCCACAUCUGCAUAAAAACUGCAUAUUGCUGACCUUUUACUUUCUUGGAGCGCCCCAAACUGACCGCAACUUGGCAGACAAUUAAGUGAGCAACAGCUGAUGCAAAUGCUGGUGUCCGUGUCCUUUGAAUUGAAAAGGCUGUAAACAUGUGAGGUCUUUAAAAUAGACUGAUAUUGAUACUGAUGUCUUUCUAGAAGCAAAUAAGACCAUUUACCGUUUUGACAUCCGGAUUUUUGAUGCCUGAAAGUAAAACGGCUUUUUAAAUAAGUCAGAUUUUGAAGGGGAUUAAAAGAAGAGCCACUUAAGGGAUACUUGACUCUGUAUGUUAUGAAUGCAUUAUUGUAAAGAGGUGUUUCAACUCGUCUUAGUUUCCUUUGCCUUUUUUAUUGGAAUAGUUUGACAGCAUGGAUAGAGACCAAAACUCCGAGUGCUGUGAUGUACAACAAACGUUCAGGGCUGGAAAUGAAUCAGGGAGUAGAGAACGCCGCAAAUAUAAGGUUCAUGUUUUAACCAUUAAAGCGACAGGACGUCCCCUCUUUUCCAUUUAUAUUGCUAUUUUAAAAGUAAAAGUGAUGCAGAUAGUACACGUUUAUUCAGUUUACUUUGUAUUUUCCCAGAGGAAAUCUGAUCGAACAUAACAGUUAAAAAAUAAACAUCUCGCGGCCUACCCGAGGAGAUAAAUCCAAACAGCCAGCGAGCAGCUCAGGCCUCCACGGCUCAGGCACGUUGCACAGGGAGAGGAAGAAAAUGGAAGGAAGAGCAAGCUCAUUCGGGCCGCCAGCCAGUGUCCCUCAGGCUACAUGAAACACUGAUGGACCUGAUAGAUUGGCGGGAGCACCGGGGGGUGGGCCGGGCCGAGCUGAACGCUGACCGAGCUGCAGCGCCGGGAGGAAAAAUAAAUCUGUCUGACAUCCGGAGAGUCAGAUCUGCUCCACAGAGUCUCCAUCCAACAACCCGGCUUAUCAGGGAACAAUCAGAAGUUAGUCUGUGUUUGGGGAUAAAUAUACGGUGUGUGGCUGCUGUCAUGGUGAGCGAUGUUGAACACGGGGGCAUAUAAUACUGCUACUGAGUUAAUUUCCUGCCAGAGCAUAAAUAAAGAAAGAUGGAGGGGUAUUCAUUCUUUUUUGACACUGAUUGACACCCAAAAUGUUUUUAGCGCUACACACAUGCCUCAGGAUAGAUUUGAUGCAUCAAAUUUAAAAUGCACACCGAAGCUCCGGUAUCAAAGAUUUUAGUUAUGCUUCACAGAGACAGAAAGAUCAAAACAGAAAUCAUUCUGUCACUGCAAAUAUGUGCAGACUAGCUGUGCAGCAUCGCACACCACAUGCAGACAAACCCAUCCUCUGUCAGAAGUGUGUCUCGCCUGAAUCUAAGGUGUUAUUUGGCAGGUUUUAAUCAGACAAAGUAAAUGUUGUCUCUGGACCCCCGUGGGCUGCAGAGAGAGAGGAGAGGAGGGGGGGAUGGAGGCAGUGACAGCGAUGUGCCUCCUUACAUUAGCCAAUCUCUGUGACAUGGAGACAAAGCUAAAUCUCCUGAUGGAAUCUCUGCAGAGCUACAGAUAGGCUCCCUACAUGCAGCCAGCCAUCUCCAUCAUCCGUCUUCCCAAAUGAAAUAUAAAGGAGAAAAUGGCCAAUGGGUGAUGGAGAUUGAUUCAAAAGAAACAUGAGUGGUAAUCAAUAUGGUUCCCUGUGCAGCCGAGCGGCAUAAGACUCCCUGCACCACCCACUGCUUACCUCAGGCUGAAGUUGGGUGCCGUCAUGCUGCCUGUGUGUAAUUUAUGAUGAAGGUGUCACUCUCAGAAUGAUACGCCACAGCUGAGUGAGCCCGACUCGUAAGGAAAAUAAGAGCUUUGGUCCUCUCAAAGGGGGAGAAAAAAGUUGCUCGGGCUGUUAGGUUCUGUUUCGUUCAUGUGAUGAUGGAUUGAUGUGAGGUGUAGAAGAAAAAGUAAGGGCUAAGUGAUGCAUUCAGAGUGGUUUUUCAAUGACAAAUGACACAGAUUAAAUGUUCUCGGGCUUCAAUUGCAAAACAGAGUUUUCGUGCGAGCUUUCAGUAUUUAUUUCAAGUGGAGAAGUUUGACAGAUUUGGAAAAACUCUGAAGUUUCUUGACAAGCUUUUGACAAGAAAAACAACACCAAUGUCGUCUCAUCUGUUUGCAUAAAGCUUCUAUGAGGAAGUCUCUGUUUUGUGUCAGUGUUGGCGCCCCCUCUGGUCAAAGCUCAACUUUUCGGAUCUUAACUGAUUCAGUAUUUUGAUGCUUAAAAAAUCAUCCUGUUGUCUUUUAUCACUGAAUAAACAGUGUUGGGGGUAACGCACGACAAAGUAACGGAUUACAGUAACGACAUUACUGUUUUGGGGUAACGUGUGUUUCUCUGUGGGCAAAGUUCUGAUCUGUUGAAGUGGUUCAUGCAUGCAUGCUCCUUUGUGUCUGUAACUGGGCAGGGGUUUGGUGCGCAUAAGGAUCAAUUUAAUCUUUUUUAUUUUGUCUUGAUAUUGAGCCUUUGGACCAUUGUCCAGCUUGUCUCUCUGGCAGUCUUUUUUUUUUUUUUUGCAGGAUUCAUUUUUCUUCAGUGUUUUUUUUUUUCCUCACUGUGUCGCUAUCUACCGGUCCAAUGUAAACCAAAAGUUGCUGGCGAAGAUGGCGUUUUCCGACCCAACAUGCAUUGCGCAAUCAUGAAUCACCCAGGAUGCGUCUUUUUUCCCCCUGGAAAGUCGCAAAAUCGCAUCGCGGUUGAUGUGUAUCCAAAUAUUUUGUAAUUUCGCGUCAUAUAUUUGCGUCAUUCCCGGUAUGUAAGGACCUUUAUACUGAGGACUGUGGCGACUCCAACAUAAACAUGAUCUCAUCAAAUAUCAGCAAAAUUCAAUAUCCGAUAUCGUAGUCGUGCUUUUUCCACUUAUCUACAUUCCAACACCAUGACUAAGUUAAAAGUUUUCAAGCAGAACUUCCUCUUUCAUUGAGUUCAGUCCCAAAAUAGCACAAACAGCGUUGAUGGAUUGCAGAAAGCACUCUCAGUGAUUUCCUGAAGUUUCUUCACUCUAAAGAUAAAAGAGAUCCAGAGAGAUGACCCCAAUGUGUCGACAGUACAGCCUCAGCUGCACAGACCGCCUCCUUAUCAAAGACACUCUCUGUCUUGUGAACCGCACGUGGAAGAAGGAGACUUUUAGGCCCUUAUGUAACCUAGCAACAGAGCAUGAUGAUCAAUAAUCAAUAUGUGACAGGUCAGAGCUGAGGAGGAGGGCAGUGAGAGGUGAAGCUCUGUUUCUGUAUCCACAUGGGGUGCAUUCAUGUGCUUCUAUUUGAAGUUAAAGUCGAGAAAAGGAUGUUUAUAUGCUUGAGUUCACAGAGGUCAGAGGUCAACCAGUCCUGCUUUUCAUGCACUGACAAGAGAGGAACUAUAGUGGGACCCAGGAGGAGCUACAGUAUCAGUAACUGUGAAGAGGAGUUUUCUUCUCUCUGUCAGGAUUCAUUUGUUUGUGAUGUAUAGUGCGCUGAAAAGGAGGGAUCCAUAUGUAAGGAGCAUGGCUGAGCCAACGGGGCUGAAUGGUAUACAUACUGACAGUCGUCUGUGGCGGCGUCCGUCCAGCAGGCUCCACUUCAUCUGCACACUGCAUGCGUUCUCCUUUAUUUAUUCAUUCAUUUCCACGUGGCCAAGUGCUGUCACUUUGAUGAAUGGGAGCUGGAACCAGCCAAUUGUUUUCACUCGACGGGACAAGUCUCACAUGCUCUGAACUUAAACGUCCUCCUUGUCAGACCACUUCUGCUAUUCUCCAGCUUUUUAGAGGCUGCCAUCUCUCCCGCACGUACCCGAGAUGAACCCACUACCACCACCCACCUGACAUCCCCCCGGGGUUUUUCUUAUUAGAAUCUACCUGAGGAAUCUCGGCUCUGAUUCGCACCGAUUUCAGCCCCCGGGCUCAGACUGCUUCAUGCCGGGUGGAGGCUGUGGAGUCGAGAUAAGUUCUCUGGUGAUGAUAUCAAAGUGGACUUGGUGCUGUUCUGCCAUUCUGGUCGCACCUUUGACAGCCUGGAUCAAGUUUAAGUCCCUGAUGAUGCUGGGUGUUAAUUUGUCUAAAGUAUGGGACGAAAAUUGAAUCAAUCUUUUUUUACUGUUCUUGUUUUUAAAGUACAUUUAAGUAUGGAGAUCCCACCAAUGACUCGGUCAUCUUGAUCCUUGAAUUGAGUUACUUAUUGGAGAACCAGUACAGAACUUAUGGUGCGUUCCAGUUGUACUCGGAAGUCGGGCUUUCCAAGCUCUGAGUCUGAACUUUUAACUGCAACGACCCCCGAGGUCGGAUUUCCAACUCUGAAAGUUGGAUGAUCCACACAACCCCUGAGUUGAUAUUUAAAGAUGGCGGCGCCCGUUGUAAAUGGUAAGUAGAAGCUCCUGUAAUGAGAAAAAAUAGGCUUUCUUCUACACCUUUGUGUUUCCUCUUCAUCCACCGUGUUUACAGGUUGCAGAAGUACCACAUAUUUGUCCAGAAGUUGUUUAUAUUCUGACAAGGCAAGUGCAAGAAUAACUUUUGCAGAUGUAGCCAUCUUGUAACACUGAUAACUCAGGCGUGACAUCAUUCCCAGCUCCGACCUCCAAGGGAAGUGGAACGCACCAUUAGGCUGCAAACAAGAUCACUUCUACAUUAUAAUGUAGCUGAUCUAAAGCAGCAGUGAGGAACUUUGGUUUGUGUCACUUUUGGCCCCUCCUGCAAGCAAAGAUGUUAAUUUUAUCCCUCUAAUCACUCUGACCACCCUCUCUGAGGGGACUUCUUCCCCAUUUGCAUCUAAACUGAAGUAUUUGUAGGAUCUCUAUAGAGCAAGGAUAAAUAGUAUUCUUUUUUCGCCCUGCGUGCAAAGCUUCACAAGUCUUAAAGAAACGUUUUUGCCCAUUUAAGGACUGGGACCCCUGCUACUGAGUGAUGCAGACUGCAGCUGUAUGUGAGCCGCUAGUAUCCUCUUAUUCAAAACAGUCGGUCUCAGUCAUUAUAGAAGUAUCUUUCUGCUUUUUAUGGGCAUCAUCUUACUGUUUUCUCACCUUCACGUCCAGGUAACUUGAGAUCUGUCCUGAUCUUCAGUCACAGAAGUUUCUCCUCUCUUUCCUUUCGUCUCGUUCUUCCUUUCUUCGGGAAUACCAAAGUCUAUCAAGUCAACAAAGUUAAAACUUCAAGUACAUAUUUUACACUCCAGUUAUAGUAUUGCUUCCAGCUCUCAGAGCAAGUGUUGCAGCAUUUUAUUAAAGCUUGUCUGCAAAGCGUUCAGCCUGGAGAGGAAUUUAUGAGACCUUGGAAAAUAACUGUGUUUUUGACCUUUACAACCAUCAAACAUAAUAAUUUACAGAAGGACUGUAGGAGUUUUAGUUCUCAAGAGGUGAUACACCUUAAAAGAAGAUCAUCGGCUCAUUCACAAACAUCUUUUCAGUGUUUUUACAGGUGGAGUGGAGUCUUCCCGAGGCCAGAUUGCAUUGUGGGAUGAACACAAAAGUUUGCCAUUUGUAAAACAGCUUUUUUACAUGUGCUCUUGUCAUGUACUUUAGCAUGGAUCAUGAGCAGCAUAGAUCUUCUGCCGCCUGUACACCAAAGAGGCCUGCACAGAGAGAGAGAGAGAGAGAGAGAGAGAGCGUGGGAGGUUGAGUCAGACAAGGUCCAGAGCUCCUGGAAAACAAAGAAGGACCACACAAACCAGCAGGUUUACGCCUCACAGAACAGCAGGAGCCCAGGUGAACCUGCAGGCCUCCUAUCAAUCUCUGCACCUUCCAAAAUUGUCUUUGACCGCGCGCAGAACCACUAACAAGUGCAGCAAAGAGGCAGGAGUUAGGACCGAGUUGGAAGAGUGAAAGACAUGGAAGAGAAGUUCAUGAAUUUUAGAUUUUAUUUGAGGACUCAUUUAAAUCAUUUCAGCCGUCAACUUCUUGCUGCUGUUCCAUUUAAUGAUGUGGAUAUAAUGUCAUACUCUUCAUGGUGAUGUGUAAUAUUAUUGCUCAGAAAAUAGGCCCACACGGAACAGAUGACCUUUUAAAGCACAUCCACGAUUCAGGCUAAUAUUUGCCCCAGAAAACACUCCAGAAAAUGAGCAUCCGGUGCAGCAGAUCAGCCAACCAGACGUAAAAUGUAAACAGAGGCAAUUAAAUGUCACACAAACGUGCCGCAUGCAAGUGUCACCCUUUUGAGCGGUUGUAGCAUCCAGGCUGCAGAUUUGCACUAAGACUCUUGGAGCUUCAGCACCAACAUGAGAGGCAAACGUCAUUUUAAAUGCAGAUGAGGAAGGCUGCAGCCUGCCACUGAUGCUAGAUGAUAACAGAUUUUCAUGCUACAUGCAGCCGAGGAAGAAGUGUUUAAAAGGCAUCCGAUGUGACAGGCUCCAUGGCGGCUAUCAGCGUCUCCAGGCUGCAGACUUUAACACAUUUAUUCUUGGAUGAUGUUUACGAUUUUGAAACUUUAAUGCCACGUCAGUAACAGAUUCUUGCUUCUCAAACCGCCUCUGAAGUGACAAGGUGUUUGCAUUUCACAGAACUGUUAAAGUAAUCAUAUGUUUCACUCCGCAGCUCUGCCACACAAUUUGUCGUCUUCAUAAGGGCUGAAAUGUUUAACAACAUAAUGUCAUCCUUGGUUUCAGGGAUAAUUACUCUGUCAGACUCAGAGAUGAUAAAAGUAAAGACUUAAGCAGCUGUUGUAAUAGUGGGAAACAUUUCAGAACUUUUCACUCUUUAUUCACCUCAAAUUUCCACCUCGCUGAUUCUCCAAACAAACUGAUUUCCUCCUCAGAACAUGAAGUCAGACUCCAGCCUCAUAUUUAUGCAUGGAUAGGUGUGCCACGGGGAAUGCAGAGUCCUCUCAGGUGUCUCAAGUGAUGGAGGAGAAGGAAGAAAACAAAUCAUUGCUCUUUCUUUUAGGUUUUUUUUCCCUCUUUUGUUGUUCAGUAGCUCUGUAACCAUGGUGAGGCCGACAGAGUCCUAGAAACUGGAGAAAGCUGUCAGUCUCUAACUACAUCUGUAAUCAUCUUUCUCUGGCGUGUCGGUGGGUUGUCGACUUGCAUGAGUUAUCGCGGCACGGAGAACAAAGAGGUGGAUGCCUGAGGAGGCUUUUGCACCCUUUUGUCUCACAGUAUCGAGUCUCACCCAGUCGUACCUGCCUCCUCUUUUUCCUUUUAUAACUUUAACCAAAUGACAGUAAUAGGCUUUUUAGUCAGACGCUCAUCAUGAAUCAUUCAUAUCAUGUCCUUGGAUAACUGGCAGAUAAUAGACAUGAAAAAGGGAAUAAAGGAACGCUGAAGGGAAGCUAACAGAAUAAGCAGUCUUAUAAGGCCUGGAUAUACGUGUCUUUCUGUGAUAGAGGAGAAGACUUUGAACACAUGCUGCUGACCGUACACUCACCUGUGCACCAAAUGUGCAGAUUAAAGGGAUAUUCCGGCGUAAAAUUAAGUGAGGGUCAAGGACUUCAGGCGAGUCCAUAACUGCAGCGGGGUGACACAUCUGAAGGAAGAACAUUUAUGAUCAUUUCUUUUUCGUUUCCUUGAAGUAAUAAUCAUCAUAUUAAUCCUUUUGCACUGCAGACACUGUAGUUUUUCUGCCUAAGCGUCUCGGUCUGAUUGUAUUUCCAUGAAGAAAUGAUCAUAAAUGUUCUUCCUUGAGCUGUGUCACCCCGCUAUGGUAAUAGACUCGCCCAAGGUCUCCGUACAAACAAGCGGCUGCUGGAGGAGAGUGGGUGAGCGGUGUUUAGUCUCUAGUACUUUGGCUAGGACCCUAUAUGUAUUGUUGAUGAAGUUAGGUGCUGUUCUGAGCUUCAUUUGUGGCUAUAGAGUGGCUUUUUUGUGAAGCGCUCUGACUGACUCUGUGUAUUUCUACCGUGCGAUCAUGACUAAAGUUGGUUUAACUAGACAAGCAAGCAGUUGGCAACAUUCAUCUCUCAGGGGGUGUCUAACUCGUUAUUACAGUGUGUUUGACCCCAACUUAAUUUUACGCUGGAAUAUCCCUUUAAAUUGAUUCAUUUCAUUUUUCUGAGAUCUGGGUGUUUCUUUUUUAAUGGGGAUGCACAGUAUCAGGUUUGUGAUGAUAUUUUGGCUGAUAUUGAUAUUGAUACCGAUUUGAAACUUUUUUUUUUCGCUGUAAAGAAUGCGUCACCUUUUGGCCAAAAGUAAUACCUGCAGAACUUUUUACAAAUGUUGAUUCCAAUGAGGAACUUUUCUCAAAUUGGCACUCCAACAUUUGUUCAUCUUUGGUUUGUCGACAUGUAAAACACAACUUUAUAAAAGCAGCCUCUCUCUCCUUGAUUAAGACUUUGAAACUUUUUACCACAGCUGCCACAUUCGAAAGUGCUUCUCCUUCUGUCAGCUAAAGACUACCGCAUGGACCAAAAACACCGUCCACUUCUGCUAAAAAGAACCAAAGCAGACUCUCUGCAGUCCACUCCCAGCACUUAAUGUUUUCAAACAUAAAUCCUGCAGGUUCCUCCGGCUAACAGGCAAAUAAAUAAUCCAGUCCCAAAUGAUUUCUUAUCCCGCUCCAGAUAAAAUCUCUUCCUGGGAGAUUGAAAGGGUAAUUAACCGCUGCUUGUGGCCAACAUUUACUCAAGUGCUAAGCAGUUUAAGUCGUGCAGUUAAAUGGUAGAUAAACAUUCACUAUUCAGUUGUAGCACAUGUGAAGAGAGCAUUACAAUAAGACAUAAUGGCACGAGAAUGACUCGUGAACAGGGGAUGAUAUAUCUCACCGCAAAACAAUCAAUUGGCAGCUCGCAGCUUUGGCACCUGAAAAGCACAAGCGGAGUUUUAUUUCAGCCGUGGUGGAGGUUGACAGCCAUGAGAGCUAAAUGUGUUUUUUUCUUUGUCUCACCAGCUUGAGAGCGGUUGUUUGGGCGAGGUGUGAGGCGUUGCGGGAGCCCCGGCUGCACUUUGCAGAUACACAAGCCUGAGCUUUCAUGCCCAGACCCAUCAGAAUGGCCCUGUCAGGCGCCUAUCUCCAGGGACUCGCUGCUGCAGUACAGGGGGAUUAAAGUGUUUUAUGAAGCCUUUUCACUGCCAAAGGUGCGCGCUCUGGCAGCCUGCGUGCCAUUUUCCCCAACAAGGGGCGACUUACACUUUGCUGGACGUGGAAGGCUGAAGCUGUGCGGUGGAUGAAAUUUUGCAUCCAAUUUGGAAACUAAUUGAACAACAAAGGGAGGAGAACAUUCGGAGGAUUUUAACCAACACAUGUGCGAAAAUGGAAAAAAAAGGAAAUCCCCCUUUUGUAGCACAUGGUACAAAAUCCAGUUAAUGAUGUACCCUGGGCCAGACUCAGCUUCACUUAAUCCAGAAUAUUACAUUUGUUUGUUUUUGCUUCAGAUGCACCUUCCAGGUUGACGCAAGAACUUUGAGUCUUGGGGAAAUAAGAAACUGUGUACUUACUUAAUUAUCUUUUGUACAUAAUCUACAUUAUGAAACAGCAGCGGUUUCAUGCUUGUCUAUCCAAUUCUCAGCUGUAUUUCUCUGUGUCUCAGGUAAAUCCCUAAAGCAAAGACAAGUUUGGAAACAAAGUGCAGCAGCAUUUUCAAGUUUAACUCACAAUCUGUGACAAUUAACAAUCCCUUUGGCCCGUGUGUGAUAAAUUGCCUGCAGAAAAGAAGCUCAUUUGUUCCAGCUUUAUCAGUCUGCAGAGACUGGAAAUGAGUGGGAACCAAACACAGAUUAGGGCUUUAGAUUUCAGCUUUCUGCUAGACCGAUGGUACGUUUACAUGUAGCUUACUCGAGGACGUGUGUGAGAUAAACCUGGUCACAUCAAACGGUCAUCAGCAAUAUUCUGCACAAAAGAGACAGCAGAGGCUUACGCACAAGGCUGCAAAAUAUUACAGCUAUUUGAAUGUGCACGCUUUAGAACAAACAGAAAUAUUAUUACAGAAAUGUGCUUUUACAUUGUUAAGGACAUCUAUGGCUACGUCCACACUGCAGGUUAUGAUGCACAAAUCCGAUCUUUUUGUGCGGUCGUUCACAUUACAACAACGAAUGCGGCAUCUAUUGUGAAUGGAAUGCGUCCAUGAAGUGACCAGCAUGUGCCCAAAGCACAAACUGCUUUCCGCGCCUGUUUGUGUUGUCGAACAAUGGUGACGUUUGUCGCAUAUUGAUGACGUAGAGGUCGGAUGAACGCGCCUGAGCGUCCACACUGCAGUCGUAUUGGAUACAUAUCCGAUUUAUAUCCACAUACAAAAGAGGCCUGGGUCGGAUUUGAAAAAAUCAGAAUUGCGCUGUUGACUCUUACAUGAAAAAAUCAGAUAUGUGUCACAUAUGGUUAAAAAAUUGGAAUUGACCUGCAGUGUGAACGUAGCCUAAGUCGCAUGAACAUGUUUGUUUACGUUAUCUAAUCAUCAGUAAUGGUGGUGAUGUGAAUUUAUUGUCAGAGUCUGAAGUUUCUGGUGUGCAAAAGAUUACUUCAGAUUGACCUCACUGAAAGCUGGAACCAGAGCCGGCCCAAGGCAUAAGCGAACUGAGCACCUGCUCAGGGCCCGCGGCCAACAGGGGGCACCCAAGAGC